GACGAACGCUGGCGGCGUGCUUAACACAUGCAAGUCGAGCGGUAAGGCCCUUUCGGGGGUACACGAGCGGCGAACGGGUGAGUAACACGUGGGUGACCUGCCCUCAGCUCUGGGAUAAGCCUGGGAAACUGGGUCUAAUACUGGAUAUGACUCCACGGUGCAUGUCGUGGGGUGGAAAGCCUUGUGCGGCUGAGGAUGGGCCCGCGGCCUAUCAGCUUGUUGGUGGGGUGANGGGCCUACCAAGGCGACGACGGGUAGCCGGCCUGAGAGGGCGACCGGCCACACUGGGACUGAGACACGGCCCAGACUCCUACGGGAGGCAGCAGUGGGGAAUCUUGCGCAAUGGGCGAAAGCCUGACGCAGCGACGCCGCGUGAGGGAUGAC
rnacentral:rRNA from 1 species